UACGUAGGUGGCAAGCGUUGUCCGGAUUUACUGGGCGUAAAGAGCGCGCAGGCGGUCGUUCAAGUCGCGUGUGAAAGCCCCCGGCUCAACUGGGGAGGGUCACGCGAUACUGCUCGACUCGAAGGCAGGAGAGGGAAGUGGAAUUCCCGGUGUAGUGGUGAAAUGCGUAGAUAUCGGGAGGAACACCAGUGGCGAAGGCGACUUCCUGGCCUGUUCUUGACGCUGAGGCGCGAAAGCUAGGGUAGCAAACGGG
rnacentral:rRNA from 1 species